CCCUUAGAUGUUCGGGGCCGCACGCGCGCUACAAUGAGUCGAUCAACGUGCGUAUAUUUCCAAGGCCGAAAGGUCGAGGUAAUCCGUUGAACCCGACCCGUGCUAGGGAUAGGGACUUGUAAUUGUUUCCCUUGAACGAGGAAUUCCCAGUAAGCGCAAGUCAUCAGCUUGCGUUGAUUACGUCCCUGCCCUUUGUACACACCGCCCGUCGCUACUACCGAUUGAAUGGUUCAGUGAGAUAAUCGGAUAGGUAACUCGGUGAGCAGCAAUGUUUACCAAGCAUACAUAGAAGACGAUCAAACUCAGUCAUUUAGAGGAAGUAAAAGUCGUAACA
rnacentral:rRNA from 1 species